AGAGUUUGAUCCUGGCUCAGAGUGAACGUUGGCGGCGUGCCUAACACAUGCAAGUCGAGCGAGAAAGUUCCUUCGGGAGCGAGUACAGCGGCGAACGGUUGAGUAACACGUGAGAAUCUGCCCUUCAGUGAAGAAUACCUUUGAGAAAUCGAAGUUAAUGCUGCAUAAUCCCCCUCGGGGGCAAAGGUGGCCUCUUUGCUGCCGCUGAAGGAUGAGCUUGCGGCCUAUCAGCUAGUUGGUGAGGUAAUAGCUUACCAAGGCGACGACGGGUAGCCGGCCUGAGAGGGUGAUCGGCCAGACUGGGACUUAGACACGGCCCAGACUCCUACGGGAGGCAGCAGUGGGGAAUCUUGCGCAAUGGGCGAAAGCCUGACGCAGCGACGCCGCGUGAAGGAUGAAGGUCUUCGGAUUGUAAACUUCUGUUAAGUGGGAAGAAAUAGUCAUGUUUAAUAGACAUGAAAGAUGACGGUACCAUUAAAGAAAGCACCGGCUAAUCUCGUGCCAGCAGCCGCGGUAAUACGAGAGGUGCUAACGUUAUUCGGAAUUACUGGGCGUAAAGGGUGCGUAGACGGUAUAGCAAGUCUGCUGUUAAAUUUUCCGGCCCAACCGGAAGUCAGCGGUGGAAACUGCUAUGCUAGAGGAUAGAAGAGAGAAGUGGAAUUCUCGGAGCAGCGGUAAAAUGCGUAGAUAUCGAGAGGAACACCGAUGGCGAAAGCAGCUUCUUGGCCUAUCCUGACGUUGAGGCACGAAAGCGUGGGUAGCAAACAGGAUUAGAUACCCUGGUAGUCCACGCCGUAAACGAUGAUCACUAAACGUUGGCUCUGCUUUGCAGGGUUAGUGUUGUAGCUAACGCGUUAAGUGAUCCGCCUGGGGAUUACGGUCGCAAGACUAAAACUUAAAGGAAUUGACGGGGGUCCGCACAAGCGGUGGAACAUGUGGUUUAAUUCGACACUACGCGAGGAACCUUACCUAGGCUUGACAUGCUUAUGACCGCUGUAGAAAUACAGCUUUCCAGGCUUUGUCUGGACAUUUGCACAGGUGCUGCAUGGCUGUCGUCAGCUCGUGUCGUGAGAUGUUUGGUUAAGUCCUCUAACGAGCGCAACUCUUACUGCCAGUUGCAACUUUUUUAAGGCACUCUGGCGGAACUGCCUGGGAAACCAGGAGGAAGGUGAGAAUGACGUCAAGUCAUCAUGGUCCUUAUGUCUAGGGCAACACACGUGUUACAAUGGUUGGUACAGAGGGCAGCAAACCCGCGAGGGUGAGCCAAUCCCUAAAGCUAUCCUAAGUUCGGAUUGAGGUCUGCAACUCGACCUCAUGAAGUUGAAAUCGCUAGUAAUCGCGUAUCAGAAUGACGCGGUGAAUACGUUCUCGGGCCUUGUACACACCGCCCGUCACACCACGAAAGUUGUUUGUACCCGAAGACAUUUUAGCUAACCAAUUAGGAGGCGAAUGUUUAAGGUAUGAAUGAUGAUUGGGGUGAAGUCGUAACAAGGUAACCG
rnacentral:rRNA from 2 species